rnacentral:misc_RNA from 1 species
GGGGGACUUAGGCUUUGGCUAAUUUAGUUUCUGUAUGCUUCAUUUUGCCUUCAAUUGGAUCUGAAUAUGGGAGGUUUGGACAACAAUGUUGUCCUCUGUUUCAAGUUUUCUUCCCUACUUCGGGUCUUCGACAUAGGUUGAUCGCAAGAUUAGGUUUUUUUUAUCUUUGGGUUGGAAAACCUUUAGGGUCUAUUUUUACUCAGGCUGUUGUUUCUUG